rnacentral:rRNA from 2 species
GGCGUGCUAAUACAUGCAAGUCGAACGAACUCUGGUAUUGAUUGGUGCUUGCAUCAUGAUUUACAUUUGAGUGAGUGGCGAACUGGUGAGUAACACGUGGGAAACCUGCCCAGAAGCGGGGGAUAACACCUGGAAACAGAUGCUAAUACCGCAUAACAACUUGGACCGCAUGGUCCGAGCUUGAAAGAUGGCUUCGGCUAUCACUUUUGGAUGGUCCCGCGGCGUAUUAGCUAGAUGGUGGGGUAACGGCUCACCAUGGCAAUGAUACGUAGCCGACCUGAGAGGGUAAUCGGCCACAUUGGGACUGAGACACGGCCCAAACUCCUACGGGAGGCAGCAGUAGGGAAUCUUCCACAAUGGACGAAAGUCUGAUGGAGCAACGCCGCGUGAGUGAAGAAGGGUUUCGGCUCGUAAAACUCUGUUGUUAAAGAAGAACAUAUCUGAGAGUAACUGUUCAGGUAUUGACGGUAUUUAACCAGAAAGCCACGGCUAACUACGUGCCAGCAGCCGCGGUAAUACGUAGGUGGCAAGCGUUGUCCGGAUUUAUUGGGCGUAAAGCGAGCGCAGGCGGUUUUUUAAGUCUGAUGUGAAAGCCUUCGGCUCAACCGAAGAAGUGCAUCGGAAACUGGGAAACUUGAGUGCAGAAGAGGACAGUGGAACUCCAUGUGUAGCGGUGAAAUGCGUAGAUAUAUGGAAGAACACCAGUGGCGAAGGCGGCUGUCUGGUCUGUAACUGACGCUGAGGCUCGAAAGUAUGGGUAGCAAACAGGAUUAGAUACCCUGGUAGUCCAUACCGUAAACGAUGAAUGCUAAGUGUUGGAGGGUUUCCGCCCUUCAGUGCUGCAGCUAACGCAUUAAGCAUUCCGCCUGGG